CUAACAGUUGUAAUAGUCUAAAACUAAAACUAAUAGCCUGCCAUUCCAUUCCAUCCGCGUCCAGCCAAUAGCCGUCCACCCGUCCGCCAGUUCCGACUAUUGUUCUUCUUUUUCUCUAAUUUUUCUUGCUCUUCUCUGCAACUUUAUCAACCUUCAACUCCUUGCAACUUUCCAAAAAGAUGUGUUAGCUAUACCGAUUUCUACGGUUGCUUCAGAGUCUGCAUUUAGCACUGGGGGACGUGUGCUUGAUUAAUAUAGGAGUUCUUUAACUCCUAAAAUUAUACAAGCUCUUGUGUGUACUCAAGAUUGGAUUCGAAAAUCAUCAUCACAAGAAGACAUCAAAAAGAUUGAAGAACAAGUCCAAUAGCUUGAUAAGAUCGAAAAUGGUUUAAUGCAAAUGGAGAAUAUUGAAGACUUACAUUUCAAUUAUGUGUUAAUUUCAAGACUUAUGUAAUGUUUUUAAUUAUGUAGUGAUUCAAAGACUUAUGUAAUGAUUUUAAUUAUGUAGUGAUUCAAUUCAGGUAA